CACUCCUACGGGAGGCAGCAGUGGGGAAUAUUGGACAAUGGGCGCAAGCCUGAUCCAGCCAUGCCGCGUGAGUGAUGAAGGCCCUAGGGUUGUAAAGAUAUUUAACCGGUGAAGAUAAUGACGGUAACCGGAGAAGAAGCCCCGGCUAACUUCGUGCCAGCAGCCGCGGUAAUACGAAGGGGGCUAGCGUUGUUCGGAUUUAAUGGGCGUAAAGCGCACGUAGGCGGACUAUUAAGUCAGGGGUGAAAUCCCGGGGCUCAACCCCGGAACUGCCUUUGAUACUGGUAGUCUUGAGUUCGAGAGAGGUGAGUGGAAUUCCGAGUGUAGAGGUGAAAUUCGUAGAUAUUCGGAGGAACACCAGUGGCGAAGGCGGCUCACUGGCUCGAUACUGACGCUGAGGUGCGAAAGCGUGGGGAGCAAACAGGAUUAGAAACCCCAGUAGUCCCAUGAU
rnacentral:rRNA from 1 species